CCCGGUGGGAUUGGCUAACCUUAACGGCUGCGACGAGAGUUGUGCUAAUGUAGCGUAAUCAUUAGCCUUUUAAAAGGAGGGAGGAAUGAAUGGUUUGACGAGGGACCUGCUGUCUCAGGAGUAAUUUCUAAAGUUUUCUUUUAAGUGAAAAGACUUAAAUUUUUAAAUAAGAAGAGAAGACCCCGGUGAGCUUGAUAAACCUUGACUAAAGAGUUAAGAUUUGAAGUUUUGUUGGGGAAACAGGAAGGGAAAAGGAACCCUUCCGUUAAUAAUGGUGAUCCCCUCUGAGGGAAGUUAGCAAAAGCUACCACGGGGAUAACAGCUUAAUCCUUUCUGAGAGAACAAAUUGAAGAAAGGGAUUGCGACAUCGAUGUUGGAUUAGGGUACCCUUUUGGUGCAGAAGUUAAAAAGGGGAGACUGUUCGUCUUUUAAACCCCU
rnacentral:rRNA from 1 species